GGGCAGAGAAGCCUGGCAGACAAGCGUCCACGGGAUCAGAAAGAGUCAGAUAGGACGGAGCAACUAACCACAGCACCUCAUAUGAAGAACCCUGGAACAGAUGUGUGUUCACAUGGAGAAUUCAGACUUCACGUGACAUGAAUCAAGGAUAUAGAAAGUCUGUCUGCUAGAAAAAUGAGGAAAUGUAUCUACUGAGAAUUCCAUCAGGUGGCAUUUUUAAACAUGAGGUACACUUGUCCCAGAUUUCAAAUGAAAUAUUCCAGGAAACUCCAUGAGUUUCUUGCCAAGUAACACAACAGAGUUGCCAGGUCCUGAGACCAAAGUGAACCAAGGUUUAAAUCUGAGUUUAGCAGACUCAGGUCCUGGCCACGGCUGCAUUCAUCUCUACAACAAACGCUUUCUUCUUCGUCACAAUAUUUAAAAUACUGCCUGAACCUGAACACAAAGCUCUGCAAGCAUCUCUCGAUGAUACUGAAUCCUGCAGAGGAAGUGUGGCCAGGCAUGUCAAUCAUUCUGCCAUCCGCCCAGUCCCCUGGGUUCUCUGACAUCCCUUUAUCCUUUGUGGUAUUAUAUGGGCAUUGGAGGUGGAUGGCUGUUCUGUCUCGUAUUUGAGGAUGACAAAGCCUGAACGAAACCCUGAGUAGUGUGUGUGUGAUGUUGGUACCAAAAGUGGGUUCCUGCUGCCUGCCUUUCAAAAGCCAACUAAGAGCCCAGUUUCCUAGGAAGCAAUGUCUGCUUUCAUUCAUAUGCCGAUGACAAGUGGGGAGAGUGGGUUUCUGUCCAAAGGCUGACUGCCCCACCCCACAACUGGCAACCAGUGGGGCAAGGGCUUUUAUAGACAGAGGGAGGGGGCUCCUUGCAAAAACAGCAGUCAGCCUCGACAGUCAUUUUGAAAUCGGUCAUGAGCGGUUGGCCAGCGUUAUCUGGAUGUAGUCAGGACACUUAAUCUUCAGUUCCAGGGUCGCUAUCUUUCCGUGCCCUGGACGUCAGUUCUCUAAAUGGUGGCAGCUUCUGUCACGGCUGCAGUCUGGUCAUCAUGCAGUAAACUUGUCCACUGGGUGGGGGUCUCAGUGUGCAUAAAACCGCUCACAGGCUAUGACCCAGAAUAAUGUCUAUUGCCCUCGAGGAGGAACUGCAGGCCCCUGUCUUUGCUUCAUGACUGCAUUACUAUUAUUUCAUCUCCUCUGUCUGUUUCCCUUUGCUAUCCGACAUUCUCCAUUCUCCGAUUCAACUUACUUUUUGACUGAAACCUUUCACAGACAAAAGGCAGGCUGAAAAUAUCAGGGGUGGGGCAAGGAACAUAAGGCCCUGCACUGUCUCACACUGUCUCAAUGGGGUCAGUGUGCUUCUGAAAAUUCCAGAUCAUUCCCCACCCAUUCAUUUCAUGAGGGCUCAUGCAAAACCCCAGGGAUGGAAUUCUAGGAUGUAGACAAAGUGAACAGGAAGAGUUAUAGAGUUGGGAGGAAUUCUGAGUCUCAGACUUGCCAUGAACUUCUUCAAUGUACCAAGAAGGAUUGCAUCUCACGGGGGCAUGCUUAAACUCACAGCUGUGAGCUUAAUGAUGUGUAGCUCACUCAGUACUUGUGAGAACAGGAAUGUGGUAACUUGUUAGCUAUGUGGACUCUACCCCAUGGAAAAAUCUGAAGACCUAUGGGCACACUCAGGCUGGUCUGUGGAAAACUACCUGGAGAGCAGGGUUUAGGUGAUGGUGGAAGGCAGCGGUGUUGGUGAGUCUUACUAGACACUACAGGUAUCAGCUAGGUGACACUCUAUAGAGGAGUGUAAUGCUAAACUCUUCUGCCCUGUUUGCUAUGAAACCCAGGCAGAGGAGACAGCAGAAGAACUUCAGAAGUAUCAGGAACUGAACAGUGAAAGGGGGAUUCCAAAUGAAAAUACUGAAAAUGUCAUCGAAACAGGUAAAGCCCCAGAGGACAACAGGUAUCCGAAAUGAAAACACAUCACAAGGACAUUAAUAUCAAACUUCCCUUUCGCAGAGACAUCUGUUAUAAAAGCUGCUUUGAAAUAAUCCCUUGAAAUAGAGGCAUGUCAAUGGUCAUCUUUCCCCUUAUUCAUUCUCUCUCACAGACAACUGUUCUCCUUAAGAACAGAGAACAUCAGUUGGGCUUAAAGAAAAGAAUGAUGUAAGAAUGCAAGCAGCAUUGAAGCAGUAAUGUGUCCCAAUCAUACGUAUGAAGAUAAUAGAUCUUUUCCUUGAAAUCAUCAUCCCUUCUCUCCCAGGAAAUCACGACCCAGAACCCAUGGUUUUCCAACUAUGACUGUCCUCUGUUCUUCCUGAUGUUACUGGAUUCCUAAACUGAUCAGUAAAUUCAUUAAUGCAUA